rnacentral:rRNA from 1 species
UAAAUGUCUGGGAAGCUGCCUGAUGGAGGGGGAUAACUGCUGGAAACGGUAGCUAAUACCGCAUAACGUCGCAAGACCAAAGAGGGGGACCUUCGGGCCUCUUGCCAUCGGAUGUGCCCAGAUGGGAUUAGCUAGUAGGUGGGGUAAUGGCUCACCUAGGCGACGAUCCCUAGCUGGUCUGAGAGGAUGACCAGCCACACUGGAACUGAGACACGGUCCAG